UAUACAUUGUGUGUCAACCUCCUGAAGUGUC
rnacentral:piRNA from 1 species